CCCUUAGAUGUUCUGGGCUGCACGCGCGCUACACUGAUGCGAUCAACAAGUUUUUCCUAUGUCGAUAGACACGGGUAAUCUUUUGAACUCGCAUCGUGAUGGGGAUAGAUUAUUGUAAUUAUUAAUCUUCAACGAGGAAUUCCUAGUAGGUGCAAAUCAUCAGUUUGCAUCGAUUACGUCCCUGCCCUUUGUACACACCGCCCGUCGCUGCUACCGAUUGGUUGAUCUGGUGAAUUAUUCGGACUGCCGGCUGAAGGGGUUUCCUCAUCUGCCAGCGGAAAGUCUUGUUAACCCUAUCAACUAGAGGAAGGAGAAGUCGUAACA
rnacentral:rRNA from 1 species